GACGAACGCUGGCGGCGUGCUUAACACAUGCAAGUCGAACGGAAAGGCCCUGCUUUUGUGGGGUGCUCGAGUGGCGAACGGGUGAGUAACACGUGAGUAACCUGCCCUUGACUUUGGGAUAACUUCAGGAAACUGGGGCUAAUACCGGAUAGGAGCUCCUGCUGCAUGGUGGGGGUUGGAAAGUUUCGGCGGUUGGGGAUGGACUCGCGGCUUAUCAGCUUGUUGGUGGGGUAGUGGCUUACCAGGGCUUUGACGGGUAGCCGGCCUGAGAGGGUGACCGGCCACAUUGGGACUGAGAUACGGCCCAGACUCCUACGGGAGGCAGCAGUGGGGAAUAUUGCACAAUGGGCGGAAGCCUGAUGCAGCAACGCCGCGUGCGGGAUGACGGCCUUCGGGUUGUAAACCGCUUUCGCCUGUGACGAAGCGUGAGUGACGGUAAUGGGUAAAGAAGCACCGGCUAACUACGUGCCAGCAGCCGCGGUGAUACGUAGGGUGCGAGCGUUGUCCGGAUUUAUUGGGCGUAAAGGGCUCGUAGGUGGUUGAUCGCGUCGGAAGUGUAAUCUUGGGGCUUAACCCUGAGCGUGCUUUCGAUACGGGUUGACUUGAGGAAGGUAGGGGAGAAUGGAAUUCCUGGUGGAGCGGUGGAAUGCGCAGAUAUCAGGAGGAACACCAGUGGCGAAGGCGGUUCUCUGGGCCUUUCCUGACGCUGAGGAGCGAAAGCGUGGGGAGCGAACAGGCUUAGAUACCCUGGUAGUCCACGCUGUAAACGGUGGGUACUAGGUGUGGGGUCCAUUCCACGGGUUCCGUGCCGUAGCUAACGCUUUAAGUACCCCGCCUGGGGAGUACGGCCGCAAGGCUAAAACUCAAAGGAAUUGACGGGGCCCCGCACAAGCGGCGGAGCAUGCGGAUUAAUUCGAUGCAACGCGUAGAACCUUACCCGGGUUUGACAUGGAUCGGGAGUGCUCAGAGAUGGGUGUGCCUCUUUUGGGGUCGGUUCACAGGUGGUGCAUGGCUGUCGUCAGCUCGUGUCGUGAGAUGUUGGGUUAAGUCCCGCAACGAGCGCAACCCUUGUUCACUGUUGCCAGCACGUUAUGGUGGGGACUCAGUGGAGACCGCCGGGGUCAACUCGGAGGAAGGUGGGGAUGACGUCAAGUCAUCAUGCCCCUUAUGUCCAGGGCUUCACGCAUGCUACAAUGGCUGGUACAGAGAGUGGCGAGCCUGUGAGGGUGAGCGAAUCUCGGAAAGCCGGUCUCAGUUCGGAUUGGGGUCUGCAACUCGACCUCAUGAAGUCGGAGUCGCUAGUAAUCGCAGAUCAGCAACGCUGCGGUGAAUACGUUCCCGGGGCU
rnacentral:rRNA from 1 species